rnacentral:rRNA from 1 species
UACGUAGGAGGCGAGCGUUGUCCGGAUUUACUGGGCGUAAAGCGCGCGCAGGCGGCACUUCAAGUAAGGUGUGAAAUCUCCCUGCUCAACGGGGAGGGUGCACUUUAGACUGAGGAGCUAGAGUACGGAAGAGGCGAGUGGAAUUCCUGGUGUAGCGGUGAAAUGCGCAGAUAUCAGGAGGAACACCAAUUGCGAAGGCAGCUCGCUGGGACGUUACUGACGCUGAGACGCGAAAGCGUGGGGAGCAAACAGG